rnacentral:rRNA from 1 species
AUUGAACGCUGGCGGCAGGCCUAACACAUGCAAGUCGAACGGUAGCACAGAGAGCUUGCUCUCGGGUGACGAGUGGCGGACGGGUGAGUAAUGUCUGGGAAACUGCCUGAUGGAGGGGGAUAACUACUGGAAACGGUAGCUAAUACCGCAUAACGUCGCAAGACCAAAGAGGGGGACCUUCGGGCCUCUUGCCAUCAGAUGUGCCCAGAUGGGAUUAGCUAGUAGGUGGGGUAACGGCUCACCUAGGCGACGAUCCCUAGCUGGUCUGAGAGGAUGACCAGCCACACUGGAACUGAGACACGGUCCAGACUCCUACGGGAGGCAGCAGUGGGGAAUAUUGCACAAUGGGCGCAAGCCUGAUGCAGCCAUGCCGCGUGUAUGAAGAAGGCCUUCGGGUUGUAAAGUACUUUCAGCGGGGAGGAAGGUGUUGUGGUUAAUAACCACAGCAAUUGACGUUACCCGCAGAAGAAGCACCGGCUAACUCCGUGCCAGCAGCCGCGGUAAUACGGAGGGUGCAAGCGUUAAUCGGAAUUACUGGGCGUAAAGCGCACGCAGGCGGUCUGUCAAGUCGGAUGUGAAAUCCCCGGGCUCAACCUGGGAACUGCAUUCGAAACUGGCAGGCUAGAGUCUUGUAGAGGGGGGUAGAAUUCCAGGU